AUUGAACGCUGGCGGCAUGCUUUACACAUGCAAGUCGAACGGUAACAGGCCUUCGGGUGCUGACGAGUGGCGAACGGGUGAGUAAUGCAUCGGAACGUACCCAGAGGUGGGGGAUAACGCAGCGAAAGCUGUGCUAAUACCGCAUGUGAUCUGAGGGUGAAAGCGGGGGACCGAUCAGCACUGUUUGCUCUCGCGCCUUUGUAGCGGCCGAUGUCGGAUUAGCUAGUUGGUGGGGUAAAGGCCUACCAAGGCGACGAUCCGUAGCUGGUCUGAGAGGACGACCAGCCACACUGGGACUGAGACACGGCCCAGACUCCUACGGGAGGCAGCAGUGGGGAAUUUUGGACAAUGGGCGCAAGCCUGAUCCAGCAAUGCCGCGUGCGGGAAGAAGGCCUUCGGGUUGUAAACCGCUUUUGGCAGGAACGAAACGGUGUCCGCUAAUACCGGGCGCUAAUGACGGUACCUGCAGAAUAAGCACCGGCUAACUACGUG
rnacentral:rRNA from 1 species